rnacentral:rRNA from 1 species
GACGUAGGAUGCGAGCGUUGUCCGGAUUUAUUGGGCGUAAAGAGUUCGUAGGUGGUUCGUUAAGUCUGGUGUAAAAGACUGGGGCUCAACCCUGGGAUCGCACUGGAUACUGGCGGACUGGAGUGUGGUAGAGGCAAGCGGAAUUCCCAGUGUAGCGGUGAAAUGCGUAGAUAUUGGGAAGAACACCGGUGGCGCAAGCGGCUUGCUGGGCCAUAACUGACACUGAGGAACGAAAGCUAGGGGAGCGAACAGG